rnacentral:rRNA from 1 species
CGUCAUAGAGGGUGAGAAUCCCGUAUGUGACUGGCCGCCACGCCCGUGUGAAGCUCCUUCGACGAGUCGAGUUGUUUGGGAAUGCAGCUCAAAAUGGGUGGUAAAUUUCAUCUAAAGCUAAAUAUUGGCCAGAGACCGAUAGCGCACAAGUAGAGUGAUCGAAAGAUGAAAAGCACUUUGGAAAGAGAGUCAAACAGUACGUGAAAUUGUUGAAAGGGAAGCGCUUGCAACCAGACUUGCCCGCGGGUGAUCAGCCGGUAUUCUUACCGGUGCACUCGCCCGUGGUCAGGCCAGCAUCGGUUUGGGCGGCUGGAUAAAGUCCACCGGAAUGUAGCUCCCCUCGGGGAGUGUUAUAGCCGGAGGUGCCAUGCAGCCCGCCCGGACCGAGGACCGCGCUUCGGCUAGGAUGCUGGCGUAAUGGUUGUAAGCGACCCGUCUUGAAACACGGACCAAGGAGUCUAACAUCUAUGCGAGUGUUUGGGUGUCAAACCCAUGCGCGUAAUGAAAGUGAACGGAGGUGGGAACCCUUAAGGGUGCACCAUCGACCGAUCCUGAUGUCUUCGGAUGGAUUUGAGUAAGAGCAUAGCUGUUGGGACCCGAAAGAUGGUAACUAUGCCUGAAUAGGGUGAAGCCAGAGGAAACUCUCGCAGCGGUUCUGACGUGCAAAUCGAUCGUCAAA